rnacentral:rRNA from 1 species
AAGUCGUAACAAGGUUUCCGUAGGUGAACCUGCGGAAGGAUCAUUAAAGAGUUUUGAGAUCUCACCGAUCUCUACUCCAACCACGUGCCGACUCCUUAACUGUUGCUUUGGCGGGCCGGGGGGCCUACGUCCGCCGCCGGCCUCUAUGGGGCUGGAGAGCGUCCGCCAGAGGGCAUAAAAAAUUCUUUGAGUAGUGGCAUCUGAGUUCUUUGUAAACGAAAUUAAAACUUUCAACAACGGAUCUCUUGGUUCUGGCAUCGAUGAAGAACGCAGCGAAAUGCGAUAAGUAAUGUGAAUUGCAGAAUUCAGUGAAUCAUCGAAUCUUUGAACGCACAUUGCGCCCCUUGGUAUUCCGAGGGGCAUGCCUGUCCGAGCGUCGUUUAAACAUCAAGCGUACGCUGUACAAACUUGGUCUUGGGUGGAGCCCGCGGGCUCGCCUGGAACCCACUGGCGGUACCGUCCGGCUCCAAGCGUAGCAAGAUUUUUCCCUCGCUUUAGGAGUCCCCGGGCGGCGCCUGCCCCAGUUCAUAUUUUCACGUUUGACCUCGGAUCAGGUAGGGAUACCCGCUGAACUUAAGCAUAUCAAUAAGCGGAGGAAAAGAAACCAACAGGGAUUGCCUCAGUAACGGCGAGUGAAGCGGCAACAGCUCAAAUUUGAAAUCUGGCACCCGCCCGAGUUGUAAUUUGUAGAGGAUGCUUUGGGGUCGUCUCCGGUCCAAGUCCCUUGGAACAGGAUGUCGCAGAGGGUGAGAAUCCCGUACGCGGCCGGAUGCCUUCUCCGUGUAAAGCUCCUUCGACGAGUCGAGUUGUUUGGGAAUGCAGCUCUAAAUUGGAGGUAAAUUUCUUCUAAAGCUAAAUACCGGCCAGAGACCGAUAGCGCACAAGUAGAGUGAUCGAAAGAUGAAAAGCACUUUGAAAAGAGAGUUAAAAAGUACGUGAAAUUGUUGAAAGGGAAGCGUUUACGGCCAGACUUGACGUAGUCGCUCAACCGGUCUUUGCCCGGUGCACUCUUCUACGUCAGGCCAGCAUCAGUUCGGACGGUCGGAUAAAGACCCUGGGAACGUGGCUCCUCGGAGUGUUAUAGCCCUAGGUACAAUGCGACCCGCCCGGACUGAGGUCGGCGAUCCACGGAUGCUGGCGUAAUGGCCGUCAACGGCC